rnacentral:rRNA from 1 species
AUUGAACGCUGGCGGCAGGCCUAACACAUGCAAGUCGAGCGGAUGAAGGGAGCUUGCUCCUGGAUUCAGCGGCGGACGGGUGAGUAAUGCCUAGGAAUCUGCCUGGUAUUGGGGGAUAACGUCCGGAAACGGGCGCUAAUACCGCAUACGUCCUGAGGGAGAAAGUGGGGGAUCUUCGGACCUCACGCUAUCAGAUGAGCCUAGGUCGGAUUAGCUAGUUGGUGGGGUAAAGGCCUACCAAGGCGACGAUCCGUAACUGGUCUGAGAGGAUGAUCAGUCACACUGGAACUGAGACACGGUCCAGACUCCUACGGGAGGCAGCAGUGGGGAAUAUUGGACAAUGGGCGAAAGCCUGAUACAGCAAAGCCGCGUGUGUGAAGAAGGUCUUCGGAUUGUAAAGCACUUUAAGUGGGGAGGAAGGGCAGUACGUUAAUACCUGGCUGUGUUGACGGUACCAACAGAAUAAGCACCGGCUAACUUCGUG